rnacentral:rRNA from 1 species
CCGAUCUCUUCAGUAAUUGCGCAUGAACCAGGAUAUGCUUAGCUUGACAAAUGGAGCUGCUGGCUCUGAAUUGUAUUGUGGGAAUGUAUUACCAACAGAGGUGCAGGUGUCAGCCAUUUGAAAGAAAGCAUCAAUGAGGGUGAGAGUCCUGUUUGUCAUGUGCAGCCUUCUGUGCACGGUGUAUAUUUGCUGAGUCACACUCCUCGGCAUUGGAAUGCAAAGUGGGUGGUAAGUUUCAUGCAAAGGUAAAUAUGCAAUUGAGACUGAUAGCGCACAAGUACCAUGAGGGACAUAUGAAAAGGACUUUAAAAAGAGAAUUAAAUGAGUUUGUAUUUGCUAAACACAAAGUAAACAGACUUGAUUUCCUCAGUGAGAUUGUAGUGCUUGCUUAACAAUGGGUUUUGGCUGCAAGUGCAAUAAUUCUUGCUUUGUGUGCCAGUUUUUAUGUGGACAUUUGAUUACCUUUGCACAUGAAUGGUAAUUUUCCUGCGGGGUGUGGAUUGCAUAUGCAUGUAAUGAUUUGCAUGUUUGUUAAAUGUGUCUGGUGUAUUUGUUUGUGUCCUUGUCCUUGAGGUUGCUUUCUCCCUUGGGCUUACAUGCCCUGGCACACACAUUCUGGCAAAAUGCUUCUGCUUGACCCGUCUUGAAAAU